UCUUCCCUUUUACUUUUCUCAUCUUUUCUCUCUGUCUCUAACUGCGGCUACCUUUUCAGUCUUCACUCAUCCUUCUCAACCACAGAUCUACUCUUCAGUUGACUCCCAAAAACUGCGACCGCAACUUCUCAUUAAUGGUAACAAAUCAUCGAAUCUACUGGAUGCAUCCGAUUUGAUAACAGAGAAUAAAAACUUCUAUCCAACAUGAGUUUCUUCCCUUUAUCUCUUAUUUAGAUAUUGCUGGAUCCAAAUCUGAUUUGGUUAAAGAAGUGUUUUUCUGCUUGGGUGUUUAGUUUUAUUUUUUAAUUGAUUUUCUUGACGAUUUUGUAGCUUCGAGUGCGGAAGAUUGUGAUGGACUUGUUGAAGCUUUAAAGGUUAUAAAAGUUGCUGUUGCGUCCAUUGAAAUAGAUGAUGAACGGAGAGAUUAAAGAAGAGAUCUGAGUCAUGAAAUGAAUAGGAAUGAUGGAUUUGUUGUGGGUUCGAUUUUGUUUGAUGUUUUGACAGAGUUUUCAAGCCGUGAAAUGAACAAGAAGAUGGUUUACUUCAAUGUAGUGAGAAAGAGAACAAGUACAACAAAGUUGCCGCCAUUAACAACUUGUGAAAUGCACAUCAAGUUGUUCGAUAAAAGGCCUAGUUCUCUGCAGCUAUUACCAAUGGUUCUUGUGUCUUCUUAUUAAGGGUCGAGAGAGAAAUUCACAUCCAAUUGCAAAACAGAAAAUCAGACACCAACAAACGAUCAUUCUCGGUACAUUCAGUUGCCCAUACCAAUAUAUCAUCUAACUUAUCUAGGUGAGCUUAAACGGCUUCUAAGUAUCAUCUGCUUGAGAUGCUUGCAUAUAAAGGAGGGGAAGGUAACCUUGCUUUGUUAGGUUGGUUCUGAGAGCACUUUAUCCUCUGUAUCGAAUGAUAUACAAGAGCAGGAGCAUGAUAUCUAACUGUGAUAUGAUUGUGCUGUCAUUUACUAUUGAUAUAGUACUAUACUUUCCUUUUGUAUUUGAAGUUAUUCUGUUUUGAAUGCAGAGAUUAUUGGAAAAAUAGGUUGUGUUUUGAAUGCAGAGAUUAUUGGAAAAAUAGGUUGUGAAUGAUUUUCUCUUCACAGGGAAGUGGGGGGUGACCACCAAUCAACACCUAAGUCCUAAGGGUUCAAGGAGGGGCUGUUGUUGUGUCACUUUCUUUAUCGAGGAGAAUUUAAGGACAUCACCGCCUCAAACAUGGGGGGAUGCAGGAUUGUUCUGUGUAGAGCUGGUGUUGACUGAUGCUCUCACGAGGGAGCACACAACUUAACAGGGAGAUGAGCGGAACAAAAAGAAAGCAAGUGGUGUCUCGAACAUUGAUGGUGGAUGCUAUGCAAAGUGCAUUGAUCUCUCUAGAGCUAAAUAACUAGAGAUUUGGAAUGCCAUCAAGUUUGGAACUGAAUCUGUGUUCCUGCAUACCGUCCUAUAACAGAGAUUCUGGAAAAGGAGGAGUGCCUUACUGCUAGCUUGUCGAACCAUUGAAGGCAGCAGCAUUAGUAGCUGGGAAAUCCCGUUCCACACUGAGUGUGAGUUCUGACAUUUGGCCAGUAAACAUGGAAAACUUCUCAUGAGAAGGCGGGUGCAAGUGGAAGAAACUUAAUGGUGAAGGUGGUUGCAGAAGGACAAAGCCUCUUAGAUACAUUGCAGGAAGCGUGCAAAGAGCCUCAUUUGCUGAUUUGGAGAUCUCUCGAUGCUGCACUUCAGCAUUUUUGUGGGCUCAUGCAGUGCUUGUGAGUUGUUUUCCGAGUUGGACUAGGUUUGAAUGCUUCACCUCCCUUCCUAGACCCUGCAAAACAUAUACAUACCAAAGGAACAGAUGGACUAUGAAUGGUCAGAGCUUAGUGAGUCCUUGAUGUCUUAGUAUUUUGCUCAGUUUUUCUUUUUAAUGUAUUAUGGAUGUUAGCGCGAAAAUAUGUUCCGAGUUUUUUUAUUGUCUUAUUGGUUAACCAGAAGAAGUGGAUGGAUUUUCUAGUCACUUUGUUGUAUUAUUUUCAGAAUAAAAUCCAUAUUUGUUUUUGCAUUA